rnacentral:lncRNA from 1 species
AUUAACCGGUUACCAACGCGAAAAUUGGUCUUUCUGGUGCGUUGGAUGCAUUAUUUUGUGAAUGAAGUAUGCAAUGUCUUGGUUUUUUUUAAUUGUGUAAGUGAUUUUGUAGGGAAAACUUGGUUAUGGUUGGAUGAUGGAUGAGGAAAACUUAGUCAUGAGCAACCUUGACUUUGUCGCAUGAGACUUAAACAUAGGCAAACUUGGCAUGAUUCACCUUGAAGAAGAUUAGUGGCUUGGAGAUAAAGAUGGAAGCCAUGAAGAUGAAGAAAGGAAUAGGUCUAGGGUUUAGGAUUAGUGGUUGACUUUGGUCAACUGUUUGACCAAAAAGUCAAUAGUUGACCAAAGUCAACUGUAGGUUAAAAAGUGUAGUUUUUUGUAGGUUUUGAUUUUGUAUCUUUUGUGAUGUAAUAUGGAUCUUGAUGACUUGUAAUAAUAUAGCCUCUUUUCAAAUAAACUUGAAUUUCUUUUCCUCC